GCUCGCAUUACCGCCUGAGCUCCAUCUGCUGUCAGCAUUAUGCAAAGCUGUACAAUACAAUAUAGCCCUCUGCCAGCAGAUCUGUUACUAAAGGAAUUCAUGCAUCUUGCAUCUUGAAGAUGCAUUAUUAAUGCCUGGACAAAUCACAUCAGGUGAAACGCAGCAAGUCCCUGGCACUGAAGAAAAGGAACAAAGGCUGGUUCUACAAGAGAGCAAUGGAUGAGACAAAUUAUAACAGCUGGGAGCCUCUUGUGAAUACCUCUCAGAUGGCAGCUGCAUCAGGACAGCAGAGAGCAACAGUCGCUGUGGGCUGCUUUUCCAUCCAUUGGCUCAUAGAUAGUUGCACAGUGUAUGGAUAAACUCAUUACUUGCUAAGGACUGACCCUGACCAGCUUAGCAAGCCUCCACCUAUUAUUUCCAAAGGGAGUCACCCCUCACUGAAGCCAUGACGAGCUUCUUUUCCACUGCAUUCCAAGCUCCUAACAGUGACUUGGAAACAAUCUGCCCAUUGGAAUCUUUUUUUAGUCCAAAACAACAAAGUUUGAAACAUUUGGCUAUAGUGUCAAGUCUGACUUACUACAAUUGCAAACCAUCAGCAAGUUUCCAGAGAGGUUGCAAUGCAAGGUGCUAAUUUGCAGAUGUUAUAGCAAAGAUCUUAUCACUAAACCA